UUAAGCAUAUUAAUAAGCGGAGGAAAAGAAACUAACAAGGAUUCUCUUAGUAAGGGCGACUGAAGCGAGAAUAGCUCAAGAUGUUAAUCGGUGUUUAUGCACUGAAUUGUGAUCUAUUGGUUUAAGUGUUAUAAUGUGGAUUAAGUCUUCUGGAAUGGAGCGGCAUAGAGGGUGACACCCCCGUGAAUCUACGUUACAAAACUUUUWCUAUUGAGUCGAGUUGCUUGGGAUUGCAGCUCUAAGUGGGUGGUAAAUUCCAUCUAAAGCUAAAUACGGUGGGGAAACCGAUAGUGAACAAGUACCGUGAGGGAAAGAUGCAAAGAACUUUGAAAAGAGAGUUAAAGAGUACCUGAAAUUGCUGAAAGGGAAGCGAAGGAAAUCAGUGUUAGUUAAAACAUAUUUGUAUUCUUGCUUGCAGGAAUUCCGCUAUGCUUAACGCCGUCUUAUUUGGUUAAAUUGGGAAAAUAUUUGUGCAUACUGUUGUAUGUGCAUAAUUUCUUGGUUUGACUGAACUAAGUCAAAAUGAUUUUCUUUUCCCCGUCUUGAAACAC
rnacentral:rRNA from 2 species